CUCUUACUCCCUUCGUCCGGAAAUACUUGUCAUCGAAAUGGAUAAAAGGGAAUGUAUAUAGAUGUAUUUUAGUUUUAAAUACAUUUUUUUUAUCAAUUUUGAUGACAAGUAUUUUCGGACGGAGGGAGUACUUC
rnacentral:pre_miRNA from 1 species